UACGAAGGGGGCGAGCGUUGUUCGGAAUUACUGGGCGUAAAGGGUGCGUAGGCGGUCGGGUAAGUCUGAUGUGAAAUCUCACAGCUUAACUGUGAAACUGCAUUGGAUACUAUUCGGCUAGAGAGUUGGAGGGGGGACUGGAAUUCUUGGUGUAGCAGUGAAAUGCGUAGAUAUCAAGAGGAACACCAGUGGCGAAGGCGAGUCCCUGGACAACUUCUGACGCUGAGGCACGAAAGCUAGGGGAGCAAACAGG
rnacentral:rRNA from 1 species